GGGGAUUCAACCCGCUGUGCGUGUGUGCUCCAGGAAACCGGAUCCGUCGGAACGGCUCCUGGAGUGGCGUGCGUGCAACGGGCGCACUUUCCCCGGGCAGAGCGCCACGACCGGUUCAUCGGCCGCCUGAAGCCCGAUGGUAAGGUAGCUUGUCUUCGGACGAGUGUUAUAGACCGUCGAGGUAUUGGUCGGCCGGAGGAUCGAGGUAUGCCGCCGCUCCCGCCCUAUGGCUCGAGGGAUCGGCUCGCGUUCGGGGUUCGACUCGGGUGGACUGCUUGCAGUGCUCUCGGACUGCCUCGGGCACGGGACCGUCUCCUGUCGAGCUGGAGCGAAUGGUCAGUGGCGUCCUGGUCGGCCCUCCAUCCGACCCGUCUUGAAACACGGACCAAGGAGUCUAACAUGUGCGCGAGUCAUGGGGUUCUACGAAACCUAAAGGCACAAUGAAGGUGAAGGGCCAGGUAGCUGGUCCGAGGUGGGAUCCCGUCCUUAGGGGCGGGCGCACCACCGGCCCGUCUCGACUGCUUCGUCGGUGAGGCGGAGCAAGAGCGUACAC
rnacentral:rRNA from 1 species